rnacentral:sRNA from 1 species
UGUAUCUGAAGCCUGACGAGGAUGAGAACCUCCGGGGGCAAGAGGUUCGACCCGAGCGAAGCGAGAGAACGUUGCGUCAGCAACGGCCCGCAGGGCG